CCUACGGGUGGCAGCAGUGGGGAAUAUUGCACAAUGGGCGAAAGCCUGAUGCAGCAACGCCGCGUGAAGGAAGAAGGGUUUCGGCUCGUAAACUUCUAUUAACAGGGACGAAAGAAAUGACGGUACCUGAAUAACAAGCCCCGGCUAACUACGCGCCAGCAGCCGCCGUAAUACGUAGGGGGCAAGCGGUAUCCGGAAUUACUGGGUGGAAAGGGUGAGUAGGCGGCAUGGUAAGCUAGAUGUGAAAGCCUUGGGGCUCAACCCAGGAUUGCAUUGGGAACUAGCAAGCUAGAGUAAAAGAGAGGAAAGCGGAAUUCCAAGUGUAGCGGUGAAAUGCGUAGAUAUAAGGAAGAACACCAGUGGCGAAGGCGGCUUUCUGGACUGAAACUGACGCUGAGGGACGAAAGCGUGGGGAGCGAACAGGAUUAGAUACCCUUGUAGUC
rnacentral:rRNA from 1 species